rnacentral:rRNA from 1 species
UACAGGGGGGGCAAGCGUUGUUCGGAAUUACUGGGCGUAAAGGGCUCGUAGGCGGCCAACUAAGUCACACGUGAAAUCCCCAGGCUUAACCUGGGAACUGCGUGUGAUACUGGAUGGCUUGAAUUCGGGAGAGGGAUGCAGAAUUCCAGGUGUAGCGGUGAAAUGCGUAGAUAUCUGGAGGAAUACCGGUGGCGAAGGCGGCAUCCUGGACCGACAUUGACGCUGAUGAGCGAAAGCUAGGGGAGCAAACAGG